rnacentral:rRNA from 1 species
GGUUAAGCGAACAAGCGUACACGGUGGAUGCCCUGGCAGUCAGAGGCGAUGAAGGACGUGCUAAUCUGCGAAAAGCGCCGGUAAGGUGAUAUGAACCGUUAUAACCGGCGAUGUCCGAAUGGGGAAACCCGGUGCACUUCGGUGCAUCAUCGUUAGCUGAAUACAUAGGCUAACGAGGCGAACCGGGGGAACUGAAACAUCUAAGUACCCCGAGGAAAAGAAAUCAACCGAGAUUCCCCCAGUAGCGGCGAGCGAACGGGGAACAGCCCAGAGCCUGAAUCAGCUUGUGUGUCAGUGGAACGGUCUGGAAAGGCCGGCGAUACAGGGUGACAGCCCCGUACACGAAGGCACACAGGCUGUGAGCUCGAUGAGUAGGGCGGGACACGUGAUAUCCUGUCUGAAGAUGGGGGGACCAUCCUCCAAGGCUAAAUACUCCUGACUGACCGAUAGUGAACCAGUACCGUGAGGGAAAGGCGAAAAGAACCCCGGCGAGGGGAGUGAAACAGAACCUGAAACCGUGUACGUACAAGCAGUGGGAGCCUUCGUAAGAGGGUGACUGCGUACCUUUUGUAUAAUGGGUCAGCGACUUAUAUUCUGUAGCAAGGUUAACCGUAUAGGGGAGCCGAAGGGAAACCGAGUCUUAACCGGGCGUUAAGUUGCAGGGUAUAGACCCGAAACCCGGUGAUCUAGCCAUGGGCAGGUUGAAGGUUGGGUAACACUAACUGGAGGACCGAACCGACUAAUGUUGAAAAAUUAGCGGAUGACCUGUGGCUGGGGGUGAAAGGCCAAUCAAACCGGGAGAUAGCUGGUUCUCCCCGAAAGCUAUUUAGGUAGCGCCUCGUGAACUCAUCUCCGGGGGUAGAGCACUGUUUCGGCUAGGGGGCCAUCCCGGCUUACCAACCCGAUGCAAACUGCGAAUACCGGAGAAUGUUAUCACGGGAGACACACGGCGGGUGCUAACGUCCGUCGUGAAGAGGGAAACAACCCAGACCGCCAGCUAAGGUCCCAAAGUCAUGGUUAAGUGGGAAACGAUGUGGGAAGGCCCAGACAGCCAGGAUGUUGGCUUAGAAGCAGCCAUCAUUUAAAGAAAGCGUAAUAGCUCACUGGUCGAGUCGGCCUGCGCGGAAGAUGUAACGGGGCUAAACCAUGCACCGAAGCUGCGGCAGCGACACUAUGUGUUGUUGGGUAGGGGAGCGUUCUGUAAGCCUGCGAAGGUGUGCUGUGAGGCAUGCUGGAGGUAUCAGAAGUGCGAAUGCUGACAUAAGUAACGAUAAAGCGGGUGAAAAGCCCGCUCGCCGGAAGACCAAGGGUUCCUGUCCAACGUUAAUCGGGGCAGGGUGAGUCGACCCCUAAGGCGAGGCCGAAAGGCGUAGUCGAUGGGAAACAGGUUAAUAUUCCUGUACUUGGUGUUACUGCGAAGGGGGGACGGAGAAGGCUAUGUCGGCCGGGCGACGGUUGUCCCGGUUUAAGCGUGUAGGCUGACUUUCCAGGCAAAUCCGGAAGGUUAAGGCUGAGGCGUGAUGACGAGGCACCACGGUGCUGAAGUGACAAAUGCCAUGCUUCCAGGAAAAGCCUCUAAGCAUCAGGUAACAUCAAAUCGUACCCCAAACCGACACAGGUGGUCAGGUAGAGAAUACCAAGGCGCUUGAGAGAACUCGGGUGAAGGAACUAGGCAAAAUGGUGCCGUAACUUCGGGAGAAGGCACGCUGACAUGUAGGUGAAGCCCCUGCGGGUGGAGCUGAAGUCAGUCGAAGAUACCAGCUGGCUGCAACUGUUUAUUAAAAACACAGCACUGUGCAAACACGAAAGUGGACGUAUACGGUGUGACGCCUGCCCGGUGCCGGAAGGUUAAUUGAUGGGGUUAUCGCAAGAGAAGCUCCUGAUCGAAGCCCCGGUAAACGGCGGCCGUAACUAUAACGGUCCUAAGGUAGCGAAAUUCCUUGUCGGGUAAGUUCCGACCUGCACGAAUGGCGUAAUGAUGGCCAGGCUGUCUCCACCCGAGACUCAGUGAAAUUGAACUCGCUGUGAAGAUGCAGUGUACCCGCGGCAAGACGGAAAGACCCCGUGAACCUUUACUACAGCUUGACACUGAACAUUGAGCCUUGAUGUGUAGGAUAGGUGGGAGGCUUUGAAGCGUGGACGCCAGUCUGCGUGGAGCCAACCUUGAAAUACCACCCUUUAAUGUUUGAUGUUCUAACCUGGCGCCGUGAUCCGGCGUGGGGACAGUGUCUGGUGGGUAGUUUGACUGGGGCGGUCUCCUCCCAAAGUGUAACGGAGGAGCACGAAGGUCAGCUAAUCCUGGUCGGACAUCAGGAGGUUAGUGCAAUGGCAUAAGCUGGCUUGACUGCGAGAGUGACGGCUCGAGCAGGUGCGAAAGCAGGUCAUAGUGAUCCGGUGGUUCUGUAUGGAAGGGCCAUCGCUCAACGGAUAAAAGGUACUCCGGGGAUAACAGGCUGAUACCGCCCAAGAGUUCAUAUCGACGGCGGUGUUUGGCACCUCGAUGUCGGCUCAUCACAUCCUGGGGCUGAAGUAGGUCCCAAGGGUAUGGCUGUUCGCCAUUUAAAGUGGUACGCGAGCUGGGUUUAGAACGUCGUGAGACAGUUCGGUCCCUAUCUGCCGUGGGCGCUGGAGAAUUGAGGGGGGCUGCUCCCAGUACGAGAGGACCGGAGUGGACGCAUCACUGGUGUUCGGGUUGUCAUGCCAAUGGCACUGCCCGGUAGCUAAAUGCGGAAGAGAUAAGUGCUGAAAGCAUCUAAGCACGAAACUUGCCCCGAGAUGAGUUCUCCCUGAGACUAUAAGUCUCCUGAAGGAACGUUGAAGACGACGACGUUGAUAGGCCGGGUGUGUAAGCGCAGCGAUGCGUUGAGCUAACCGGUACUAAUGAACCGUGAGGCUUAACCUU